GUGUCAUCAUCUCAAACGGGUGAGGAUCUUCAAAGUAGUCUGGGUUCGGUAUUUUCCGAGGACUCCAGAUUCCCUGAUAAUUAGGAUUAGGUAUCAUAGGUGCUUUCCAUUUUCCUUUAUACUUGGGGUUGUUCUUCAUGGGACGCACCCACAGUCCACAACCAGGUGCGGUGGCACACUUCGGAUUGGGGACCUGAGGGGCUUCCCACUCCCCAUCCAUUUCUUCAUCCCUACAGAAAGAAAGGCACAAAUAGCCUAUUUCAGGUAGGCCUGAUCAGAACACUAACAUUCAGUACAGCUUUGGAUCCAUACACAUUUUGCUGUAACAACCUCAGAAUUUGGUUAAAGCUCAGCUGAUC
rnacentral:lncRNA from 1 species